AUGUCAGUCCACCGUAGUACUACAACGUACAGCGCCAUGGAGGCCAUGCCGCUGCUGCUCUUCCUCGCCCUCCUCGUCCUCCCGGCGUACUGCCUGCAGUCGCCGCGGCAGUCCUACCACCUCGAACUCGCCCGCGUCGACGCCGCGGACACGGGAAGCCUCAACAUCAGCGACCAUGAGCUCCUCCGGCGCGCCAUCCAGCGCAGCCGGGACCGGCUGGCCAGCAUCACGCCCCGCCUGUACCCGACCCGCAACCGCAAGGUGGUGGUGGGCGAGGCCCCGGUGCUGUCGGCCGGGGGCGAGUACCUGGUGAAGCUCGGCCUGGGCACGCCGCAGCACUGCUUCACGGCGGCCAUCGACACGGCCAGCGACCUCAUCUGGACGCAGUGCCAGCCGUGCGUCAAGUGCUACCGCCAGAAGGACCCCGUGUUCAACCCCAUGGCCUCGACCACCUACGCCGUGGUGCCGUGCAACAGCGACACGUGCGACGAGCUGGACACCCACCGGUGCGGCCGCAGCGGCAGCGAGGACGACGACGACGACGACGUGUGCCAGUACACCUACACGUACGGCGGGAACUCGACGACGAGGGGCACGCUGGCCGUCGACAAGCUGACCAUCGGCGAGGACUCGUUCCACGGCGUCGUCUUCGGCUGCAGCAGCUCCAGCGUCGGGGGGCCGCCCGCGGAGGUGUCGGGGGUGGUGGGCCUCGGCCGCGGGCCGCUCUCGCUGGUGUCCCAGCUGUCGGUGCGGAGGUUCAUGUACUGCCUGCCCCCGCCGGCCUCCAGGAGCGCGGGGAGGCUGGUCCUCGGCGCCGACGCCACGGCCAUGCGCAACGCGUCGGACCGGAUCGUGGUGCCCAUGUCCAUCAACCCGCGGUACCCGUCCUACUACUACCUCAACCUCAACGGGCUGUCCAUCGGCGACAAGGCCAUGUCCUCCUCCUUCAGGAGCAUCAUGAACGCGACGACUCCAGGUACUUCAGACCCCGACCCCAACGUGGCGGCGUCUCCCAUGCCCGUGUCCGGCGACGGCGACGGCGGCGGCGGCACGGGGCCGAACGCGUUCGGGAUGAUCAUCGACAUCGCGUCGACGAUCACGUUCCUGGAGGAGUCGCUGUACGAGGAGCUGGUGGACGACCUGGAGGAGGAGAUCAGGCUGCCGCGGGGUUCCGGGUCGAGCCUGGGGCUGGACCUCUGCUUCAUCCUGCCCAACGGGGUGCCGAUGAGCCGCGUGUACGCGCCGUCCAUGUCGCUGGCGUUCGACGGGGAGUGGCUCAAGCUGGAGAAGGAGCUGCUGUUCGUGGAGGACAGGGAGAGCGGGAUGAUGUGCCUCAUGAUCGGCAAGACGGACGGGGUAUCUAUCCUCGGCAACUACCAGCAGCAGAACAUUCAGGUCAUGUACAACCUGCGCCGGGAGAGGAUCACCUUCGUCAAGACCAACUGCGAAUCCAUGACUCACUAG
rnacentral:rRNA from 1 species